CAUAUAUGGCGGCCCUCAAGGCUAUGGGUUAAAGGGCAGUGAGGUCGAAGUUCUUGGCUGAAUGUGUGGAAACCCUGAAUAAACUCCAGUUUCACGACAUAGUGCUAACAUGGAUUAGCGCAUACGACGGUCGGAUUGGCCACCGAGUGAACUCACCUUUUCAUGGUGGGCUACCCAUUCAACCUAAACUAUUAACAAUUCCACAGAGAAAUCAUAGAAUAGGAGAAAAGCAGUUUUCUAAAUGUAAUAUUUGGUUUUGAAAUUUGUUCAAACUUCAAAUUUUGUCAGCUGACAAAAAAAGGGAACGUAAAAUUUUGAUUUAACUGAAUUCUAUUGUACUUUCCGGUUAUCGUCGACAGACGUUCGGUAAUCACUUGAAUGUGUAUUCAUAGGCCAAAAUAAAACAGCUGACACGUUUUCUUACA